CUGCAUAGAGUGGCUCUGUGGGCCUCCCAAAUACGUUUAGUCGAAGCUGUAGUUGGCAACAUCUGUGUAUUCUUGGGUCUGAGGAGGGGAGGGGUCCACAUGAUCGAUAGAAAGUGUUGCCCUGGUUCUGAGCCAGACUCAAGUGCUAUCCACUGUGGGUGUUUCUCUUGGGUUUGUGCUGUGAUAAUGGGGUUGAUGUUGGCUGCUCUAUAGUACUGUUGUAGGUUAGGGAGGUUCAUGCCUCCUCUCGUAUGGCGUCUGUACAUCGUGGUUAUGGCUACUCUGGGUUUGUGUUGCACCCAUAUAAAUUUAUUCAAUAGUGCUUGGUUUUCUGUGAAAAAGGGCACCUGAACUUUUAUGGGGAGGGUCCUAAAUAGGUAUUGGUAUUUUGGGAGAAUUAUCAUUUUUAUUGCGGCUACUCGGCCAGUCCAGGAGAUAAAUUUUUUUAUGCCAUCCCUGAAGGAGUGUUUUCACCUGAUUGUGUAGUGUUGUGUAGUUUGCCUUGAAGAGGUGGGUGAGUGAUGCCGUAAGUUUUAAACCUAAGAAGGUAAGGUGAUCAGUUCUCCAAUCAUAGUUGAACUGGGAUUUCAAGUUUUGCAUUCAUUUGCUGGGGAGAGUGAGGC